rnacentral:rRNA from 1 species
AACGAACGCUGGCGGCAUGCCUAACACAUGCAAGUCGAACGAGACCUUCGGGUCUAGUGGCGCACGGGUGCGUAACGCGUGGGAACCUGCCCUUAGGUUCGGAAUAACUCCCCGAAAGGGGUGCUAAUACCGGAUAAUGUCUUCGGACCAAAGAUUUAUCGCCUUUGGAUGGGCCCGCGUUGGAUUAGCUAGUUGGUAGGGUAAAAGCCUACCAAGGCGACGAUCCAUAGCUGGUCUGAGAGGAUGAUCAGCCACACUGGGACUAAGACGCGGCCCAGACUCCUACGGGAGGCAGCAGUGGGGAAUAUUGGACAAUGGGCGGAAGCAUGAUCCAGCAAUGCCGCGUGAGUGAUGAAGGCCGUAGGGUUGUAAAGCGCUUUUACCCGGGAUGAUAAUGACAGUACCGGGAGAAUAAGCUCCGGCUAACUCCGUG